AUCAGACUACACUAACGCUACAGCUAGCAACCAACCGGGGUCACAUCAAGCGACUGAAGAUUGGGUAUGUACCCUCCCGUUUCCAGUGGAACAACUGGGGACUGCCUAGAAGGGAGUCUGUUUAUAAAAGAGCAUCAACUCGCUUAGGCCAUGACGUUCACCCAGCCCUUCCUCUGGAGCAACCGCUGCCGUGUGAAUGAGAGCCGAUGGAGGAGAUCACAGCUUCGGUGGUGAUGACAGAACAUGAUUUCAGUUCUGCUCCUAAACCAGGUGCACUGGAUGCUGCUGCUGCACGCAUACAGCAAUUGGAAGAAACAGUCAAGGAGCUGACGAGAGCUGUCACAGCUGAAAGCCUGCAAGAGAAGGUGCUGGCUGACAUGUUUCAGGUCAGUGUGUCCACUGUCUCCCAUGUUGUUAUAACGUGGGCCAACUACCGUUACCUGCUCCUUGGCUCCCUCCCCAUCUGGAUGAGUAAACAGCAAGUCAAGAACACCAUGCCAAGCAAAUUUGUGUAGUACAGUCCAGAUGUUCGGGUAAUCAUCGACUGCACCGAGGUGCGAUGCCAGAAUCCAUCAUCCCUCACCCUCCAGUCUGAGGUUUUCUCAUCUUACAAGAACACAACAACCUUUAAGGCCUUCAUUGGGAUUGCCCCUUGUAGUGCUGUGACUUUUGUGUCAAGUCUCUUCACCGGCUCCAUCUCCGACCGAGAGCUGACUGAACGAAGUGGACUGCUGGAUUUACUGGAGCCAGGAGAUGGCUGCAUGGCAGACAAGGGUUUCAUCAUCGAGAAGCUACUAGCUGAUCGUGGGGCAACGCUGAUUAUACCACCCUUCAAGAUGACAGUUCACCGAAGAGGAUGCUCUGAAAACACAAGCAAUCGCCCGACUUCGAAUCCUCGUGGAAAGAGCAAUACGCAGAGUCAAGGAAUACCACAUCUGGGAACGCACUGUCCUCUC